rnacentral:rRNA from 1 species
AAUCACAUGAUUAUGUAAUUAAAGCUUCGGCGGUUAAAGAUGGGCAUGCGUCCCAUUAGUUAGUUGGUGAGGUAACGGCUCACCAAGACUACGAUGGGUAGGGGGCCUGAGAGGGUGACCCCCCACACUGGUACUGAGACACGGACCAGACUCCUACGGGAGGCAGCAGUGAGGAAUAUUGGACAAUGGGCGAAAGCCUGAUCCAGCCAUGCCGCGUGAAGGAUUGAAGGCUCUAUGGGUUGUAAACUUCUUUUUUAUGGGAAGAAACCCUCGAACGUGUUCGAGGCUGACGGUACCAUAAGAAUAAGCACCGGCUAACUCCGUGCCAGCAGCCGCGGUAAUACGGAGGGUGCAAGCGUUAUCCGGAUUUAUUGGGUUUAAAGGGUCCGUAGGCGGAUUAAUAAGUCAGUGGUGAAAGCCUACAGCUCAACUGUAGAACUGCCAUUGAUACUGUUAAUCUUGAGUUUGGUUGAGGUAAGCGGAAUGAGACAUGUAGCGGUGAAAUACUUAGAUAUGUCUCAGAACACCAAUUGCGAAGGCAGCUUACUAAACCAAUACUGACGCUGAUGGACGAAAGCGUGGGGAGCGAACAGGAUUAGAUACCCUGGUAGUCCACGCCGUAAACGAUGAUUACUCGUUGCUAGCGAUACACAGUUAGUGACCAAGCGAAAGUGUUAAGUAAUCCACCUGGGGAGUACGGUCGCAAGAUUGAAACUCAAAGGAAUUGACGGGGGCCCGCACAAGCAGUGGAGCAUGUGGUUUAAUUCGAUGAUACGCGAGGAACCUUACCAGGGCUUAAAUGUGCUAUGACCUCUCGGGAAACCGAGAUUCUCUUCGGAGCAAAGUACAAGGUGCUGCAUGGUUGUCGUCAGCUCGUGCCGUGAGGUGUCGGGUUAAGUCCCAUAACGAGCGCAACCCCUAUCUUUAGUUGCCAGCGAGUAAUGUCGGGGACUCUAAAGAAACUGCCCGCGCAAGCGAGGAGGAAGGUGGGGAUGACGUCAAAUCAUCACGGCCCUUACGUCCUGGGCCACACACGUGCUACAAUGGUGCAUACAGAGGGCAGCAACCUGGUGACAGGAAGCGAAUCUCUAAAGUGCAUCUCAGUUCGGAUUGAAGUCUGCAACUCGACUUCAUGAAGCCGGAAUUGCUAGUAAUCGCGCAUCAGCCAUGGCGCGGUGAAUACGUUCCCGGGCCUUGUACACACCGCCCGUCAAGCCAUGGAAGCUGGGGGUGCCUGAAGUCGGUAACCGCAAGGAGCUGCCUAGGGUAAAACUGGUGACUGGGGCUAAGUCGUAACAAGGUA